GGUACCAUAGCUCAGUUGGUAGAGCAAAGGACUGAAAAUCCUUGUGUCACUGGUUCGAAUCCAGUUGGUACCACAA
rnacentral:tRNA from 1 species